AGCGCAUACGUCUCCAUUAUGUAAAAAAUUGCUUUGAAACUUCUAGUGGGUGUAAAGGUAGAGAUACUUUUUGUGCUGUCUGUGGGUGUUACAUCAGGAAGGGGAAUCGGAGAAGUAUCAAUGGUAGAACAACAGAAUCUUAUGAAAAGUGUUUUAUAUAUCAAAAGAAAAUUGAGAUAACGAUUGAACUCCAAAAAUUUUUCAGAAGAUGAAGUUAGUUCAAAUCUUGAGAUUAAUUCAACAAAUGAUGAUGAAAUACAAGAACCUGUGAAUAGCUCCCGAGAAACUGUUGAAGAUGAUUAUGAUGAAUUAGAUGGAAAUACAUCUGAAGGAGGUAAAUUUAAUCAAGAAGAAUUAAAUGACUUUGUUCGAGAUAUGCUGCUUUCAAAAGAGAAUGCGGAGCUGUUAGCUUCAAGAUUGAAAGAAAAAAUGCUUAACUAAAGGAACAAAAGUAUCAUUAUAUCGCGGUAGAGAUCUACAAUUCAGAAAAUAUUUUUCUAAAUAAAAGAAUUUAGUUUAUUCUAAUGAUGUAAAAAAUUUGCUUGGUGAAUUUAAAUGUAUAAAUUACAAUGCAGAGCAUUGAAGACUUUUUUUAGAAUCAUCUGCAAAAAGUUUCGAAGCAAUUUUGUUACAUAAUGGAAACGUGUACGCUCCUAUUCCAGUAGCACAUUACACGGUCCGGAAAGAAGAAUAUGAGAGUCUGGAAUUUCUGUCUAAAAAAUUGAAAUACGAUGGGCAUAACUGGUUAGUAUACGAAGAUCUGAAAAUUAUAACAAUUUUGCUAGGGCAACGGAACGGUUUUACGAAAUAACUUUGUUUUUUGUGUGAGUGGGACAGUCGCGCACGUGAAAAGCACUAUGAAAUAAAAGUAUGGACAUCCAGAAAAAAUUUAGAAACCGGCUCUAAAAACAUUAUUAAAAAAUUACCACCUGUCCAAAGAGUAUUGUUUCCUCCACUGCACAUCAAGUUAGGAUUUAUUAAAAAUUCCACAAAUGAGAGAUUUUUUUAAAGAUGAACAUUUUGUAGAACUUAUGACAGAUACAGAAAAGGAUGCGUGGCAAAGUUUCAAAGAGAUUCGCAUAUUGAAUACUUCCCUGAAAAUUUGGGUGAUUUAAGUGAGGAACAGGGUGAAAGAAUGCAUCAAGCCUUGAAAGAAAUUGAGAAGACAUGGCCAGGAGUUUGAGAUGAAACCAUGUUAACAGAAUUCUGGGGCUGGAGCUUAAUGCAUGAAACCAAAAGUUGUCAUAUAAGAAAAGCCAUUCGUUAGUCAUUCCUGGGUUCGGAAAAGAGCGAGUAAAUUAGUUACAACAUCAACGAAUUUACCUUGUGUUACAGGCUUUUCGGGUUUGUGG